UCAGACGAUGCGUCAUGCAUAUCAAUAAGCGGAGGAAAAGAAACUAACAAGGAUUCCCUCAGUAACGGCGAGUGAAGCGGGAAGAGCUCAAAUUUGAAAUCUUGAAAGGUCACCUUUCACGAAUUGUAGUUUAAAGAAGUGUUUUCUGUUACGAUCGUAAUAUAAGUUCUUUGGAAUAGGACAUCACAGAGGGUGAGAAUCCCGUCUAUGAUUGCGAUUUGUAGCUUUGUGAUACACUUUCAAAGAGUCGGGUUGUUUGGGAAUGCAGCCCAAAACGGGAGGUAAAUUUCUUCUAAGGCUAAAUAUUGGCGAGAGACCGAUAGCGAACAAGUACCGUGAGGGAAAGAUGAAAAGGAACUUUGAAAAGAGAGUUAAAUAGUACGUGAAAUUGUCAAAAGGGAAGCGUUUAACACCAGUGUUGCUUUCUGAAAAUCAACCUCUGUUAGCUUUAUGCAUGUUUGUUUAGACCUAAUCAGCUAUCUUGCAUGUUCUAUUGUUUGCAGUGGUGCACUUUUCAGUUUACAGGUCAACAUCAGUUUUUUUUACCGUAAAAAAGUUAAAGAAAGGUAGCUCAUGGCUCCGGUCGUGAGUGUUAUAGUCUUUUUCCUAUGCGGUAGGAGAGACUGAGGUCUGCAGUGUAGGCUAUUUGGCUAGAUACUCAGGUGCUAUGUGAUACCAUUUCAUAAACAACUUGUUGAUUAUGUUUUGUCUAUUGCAUACUCGCUUGUACUAUCAUACCUACGCUUAGGAUGUUGAAGACUCUACAGAGAUA
rnacentral:rRNA from 1 species